rnacentral:rRNA from 1 species
GACGUAGGGUGCGAGCGUUGUCCGGAGUUAUUGGGCGUAAAGGGCGCGUAGGCGGAGUGCUUUGUCGGGCGUGAAAUUCCAGGGCUCAACCUUGGGGCUGCGUUCGAGACGAGCAUUCUAGAGUGGAGAAGAGGGUCGUGGAAUUCCCAGUGUAGAGGUGAAAUUCGUAGAUAUUGGGAAGAACACCGGUGGCGAAGGCGGCUCACUGGCUCGUUUCUGACGCUCAGGCGCGACAGCGUGAGGAUCAAACAGG